rnacentral:lncRNA from 1 species
GAAAGAUUUAAUUUUAAAAUUAGAGGAUGACAUAAUUUAACAUAAAAGUAAUAUAAAUUUUUGAAGACUUCAGUAGAAAAAAAUUUUGAGGACAAAAUUUAUUUUUAGGGAGGUCGAAUGUAAUAUCCAAAAAAAAUUAAAAAAAUCAGAAGAACUCGUGAAGGAGUUCUUCUCUCAAUCCAAUCCAAAUACCACCUAAAAAUCUGAUUGAAAUCGAAUUGAAACUCUUCCUUUUUGAGAUCUAUUUAAGGACCCCAACCCCUUGAUUCAUCAUCAUCGAAAAAUCACCAAAGAUCACUGUUCUUUUUCUCCUGAUUUUGCCCUGUUCACCGAUAGAAUAAUCUCAUUUUAGCUACCAAAAAUCGGAUCAAAUCCAUCCAAAAACUAGGUAA